rnacentral:rRNA from 1 species
GACGAACGCUGGCGGCGUGCCUAAUACAUGCAAGUAGAACGCUGAAGGAGGAGCUUGCUCUUCUGGAUGAGUUGCGAACGGGUGAGUAACGCGUAGGUAACCUGCCUGGUAGCGGGGGAUAACUAUUGGAAACGAUAGCUAAUACCGCAUAACAUUGACUAUUGCAUGAUAGUCAAUUGAAAGGUGCAAAUGCACCACUACCAGAUGGACCUGCGUUGUAUUAGCUAGUUGGUGGGGUAACGGCUCACCAAGGCGACGAUACAUAGCCGACCUGAGAGGGUGAUCGGCCACACUGGGACUGAGACACGGCCCAGACUCCUACGGGAGGCAGCAGUAGGGAAUCUUCGGCAAUGGACGGAAGUCUGACCGAGCAACGCCGCGUAAAGUGAAAGAAAGGUUUUUCGGGAUUCGUAAAAGCUCUGUUGUAAAGAGAAAGAAACGAAGUGUG